CGAAUGCCUUUUUAUACUCGUUAUACUAAGAAUAAAAAAAAUGUUUAAGGCGUUCUCGAGACUGUCCAGUGUUCGAAUAAAACAAUAAUGUAGUUUUCGUGACACGCAAGCUUGUGUCGUAGUUUGUUUAACCACUGAAAACCGUAAAAGGUAAUAUGAAUUAUUUGUGAUAGCAAAAUUGGCAGCAUCGCAACCCAACACUUAGCAAAACUCUUGAGUGGCAACUAGCACCAGAUUUCUUCCGCGAAUUCCUUUGAACACUAGACAAUCCUUGCAAGGCCAAAAAAAAAAAAGGGAGAGGGGGAGGCCUCCUAAUCGCGAUCCACUCGAACUGCGUCUGUAGAUUAAAUGUAGUGACGUCUUGCAGCCACGGUGCACAGAAAGUGCCGUUAUUUUCCACGUCUAAUAAAUAUCCUCGUCGAAUGCAAAGUACGAGGAAAUAAACAAUGCGUGGCCUCGAUAACCUUGCAGGAACAUGCGUUAUAAACAAAAAAAGAAAGAGAGAGAGAAAAGGCCGCGAUGAUUUGCGUGUCACUGUUUUACUAUUAAACACGGAUCAACAACGCUCAAUCGUGCUAUGCGUUUUAUUCAUACAACGUUCUCCUUUUCCUCUUGUUCUUUUUUUUUUCGGCAGAGGAAGGAGAAGGCCCGCUGGCGCAGCUCCCGCAGAAGACACCACGCCGAGAUUCUCGCGGUAGAGAACGUCCUCCGCAUCGAAUCGGUGAGCUACUGUCGGCAGCACAGGCAAGGAGUGGUCCAAAAGCAGACAUUGAUGGCCCUGCUUGCAGCGCUUCAGUAUCCAUACGACAAGAAAAUAUACCUGGACAUCGACAUCAUCAGCUCACUUGUUGAUGUUCCACAAU